rnacentral:rRNA from 1 species
CACAGGCUGUGAACUCGAAGAGUAGGGCGGGACACGUGGUAUCCUGUCUGAAUAUGGGGGGACCAUCCUCCAAGGCUAAAUACUCCUGACUGACCGAUAGUGAACCAGUACCGUGAGGGAAAGGCGAAAAGAACCCCGGCGAGGGGAGUGAAAAAGAACCUGAAACCGUGUACGUACAAGCAGUGGGAGCACCUUCGGGUGUGACUGCGUACCUUUUGUAUAAUGGGUCAGCGACUUAUAUUCUGUAGCAAGGUUAACCGUAUAGGGGAGCCGAAGGGAAACCGAGUCUUAACUGGGCGUUAAGUUGCAGGGUAUAGACCCGAAACCCGGUGAUCUAGCCAUGGGCAGGUUGAAGGUUGGGUAACACUAACUGGAGGACCGAACCGACUAAUGUUGAAAAAUUAGCGGAUGACCUGUGGCUGGGGGUGAAAGGCCAAUCAAACCGGGAGAUAGCUGGUUCUCCCCGAAAGCUAUUUAGGUAGCGCCUCGUGAAUUCAUCUUCGGGGGUAGAGCACUGUUUCGGCUAGGGGGCCAUCCCGGCUUACCAACCCGAUGCAAACUACGAAUACCGAAGAAUGUUAUCACGGGAGACACACGGCGGGUGCUAACGUCCGUCGUGAAGAGGGAAACAACCCAGACCGCCAGCUAAGGUCCCAAAGUCAUGGUUAAGUGGGAAACGAUGUGGGAAGGCCCAGACAGCCAGGAUGUUGGCUUAGAAGCAGCCAUCAUUUAAAGAAAGCGUAAUAGCUCACUGGUCGAGUCGGCCUGCGCGGAAGAUGUAACGGGGCUAAACCAUGCACCGAAGCUGCGGCAGCGACGCUUAUGCGUUGUUGGGUAGGGGAGCGUUCUGUAAGCCGUUGAAGGUGGCCUGUGAGGGCUGCUGGAGGUAUCAGAAGUGCGAAUGCUGACAUAAGUAACGAUAAAGCGGGUGAAAAGCCCGCUCGCCGGAAGACCAAGGGUUCCUGUCCAACGUUAAUCGGGGCAGGGUGAGUCGACCCCUAAGGCGAGGCCGAAAGGCGUAGUCGAUGGGAAACAGGUUAAUAUUCCUGUACUUGGUGUUACUGCGAAGGGGGGACGGAGAAGGCUAUGUUAGCCGGGCGACGGUUGUCCCGGUUUAAGCAUGUAGGCGGAGGUUCCAGGUAAAUCCGGUACCUUUUUAACGCUGAGGUGUGAUGACGAGGCACUACGGUGCUGAAGUAACAAAUGCCCUGCUUCCAGGAAAAGCCUCUAAGCAUCAGGUAACACGAAAUCGUACCCCAAACCGACACAGGUGGUCAGGUAGAGAAUACCAAGGCGCUUGAGAGAACUCGGGUGAAGGAACUAGGCAAAAUGGUGCCGUAACUUCGGGAGAAGGCACGCUGAUAUGUAGGUGAAGCCCCUGCGGGUGGAGCUGAAAUCAGUCGAAGAUACCAGCUGGCUGCAACUGUUUAUUAAAAACACAGCACUGUGCAAACACGAAAGUGGACGUAUACGGUGUGACGCCUGCCCGGUGCCGGAAGGUUAAUUGAUGGGGUUAGCGGCAACGCGAAGCUCUUGAUCGAAGCCCCGGUAAACGGCGGCCGUAACUAUAACGGUCCUAAGGUAGCGAAAUUCCUUGUCGGGUAAGUUCCGACCUGCACGAAUGGCGUAAUGAUGGCCAGGCUGUCUCCACCCGAGACUCAGUGAAAUUGAACUCGCUGUGAAGAUGCAGUGUACCCGCGGCAAGACGGAAAGACCCCGUGAACCUUUACUAUAGCUUGACACUGAACACUGGUCCUUGAUGUGUAGGAUAGGUGGGAGGCUUUGAAGCGUGGACGCCAGUCUGCGUGGAGCCGUCCUUGAAAUACCACCCUUUAAUGGCUGGUGUUCUAACGUAGACCCGUAAUCCGGGUUGCGGACAGUGUCUGGUGGGUAGUUUGACUGGGGCGGUCUCCUCCCAAAGAGUAACGGAGGAGCACGAAGGUUAGCUAAUCCUGGUCGGACAUCAGGAGGUUAGUGCAAUGGCAUAAGCUAGCUUGACUGCGAGAGUGACGGCUCGAGCAGGUGCGAAAGCAGGUCAUAGUGAUCCGGUGGUUCUGAAUGGAAGGGCCAUCGCUCAACGGAUAAAAGGUACUCCGGGGAUAACAGGCUGAUACCGCCCAAGAGUUCAUAUCGACGGCGGUGUUUGGCACCUCGAUGUCGGCUCAUCACAUCCUGGGGCUGAAGUAGGUCCCAAGGGUAUGGCUGUUCGCCAUUUAAAGUGGUACGCGAGCUGGGUUUAGAACGUCGUGAGACAGUUCGGUCCCUAUCUGCCGUGGGCGCUGGAGAAUUGAGGGGGGCUGCUCCUAGUACGAGAGGACCGGAGUGGACGCAUCACUGGUGUUCGGGUUGUCAUGCCAAUGGCACUGCCCGGUAGCUAAAUGCGGAAGAGAUAAGUGCUGAAAGCAUCUAAGCACGAAACUUGCCCCGAGAUGAGUUCUCCCUGAGACUUAAAGUCUCCUGAAGGAACGUU